UACGUAGGGGGCGAGCGUUGUCCGGAUUUAUUGGGCGUAAAGAGCUCGUAGGCGGCUCAGCAAGUCGGUCGUGAAAACCCGGGGCUCAACCCCGGGAGGCCGGUCGAUACUGCUGUGGCUAGGGUCCGGUAGAGGAGAGUGGAAUUCCCGGUGUAGCGGUGGAAUGCGCAGAUAUCGGGAGGAACACCAGUAGCGAAGGCGGCUCACUGGCCCGGUACUGACGCUGAGGUGCGAAAGCGUGGGGAGCAAACAGG
rnacentral:rRNA from 1 species